CGUGCUGAGGAGCGCUGCGACUAUCUCACCGAUAGCCAGGCUCAGCGCGAGCGAAGUUUCAACUGCGCUCGUUGACU
rnacentral:ncRNA from 1 species